CAGUCGCCGCGGUAAUACAGAGGGUGCGAGCGUUAAUCGGAUUUACUGGGCGUAAAGCGUGCGUAGGCGGCUUUUUAAGUCGGAUGUGAAAUCCCUGAGCUUAACUUAGGAAUUGCAUUCGAUACUGGGAAGCUAGAGUAUGGGAGAGGAUGGUAGAAUUCCAGGUGUAGCGGUGAAAUGCGUAGAGAUCUGGAAGAAUACCGAUGGCGAAGGCAGCCAUCUGGCCUAAUACUGACGCUGAGGUACGAAAGCAUGGGGAGCAAACAGGAUUAGAUACCCGCGUAGUCCCUGUCUCUUAUAC
rnacentral:rRNA from 1 species